CACCACCAUUAUAUUAGCAAUUAGCUAGAACCUCAUUGGCACCACCAAGUAAUACCCAGAACCCCGGCACUGUGAACCACCUCAAGACGUCUGCACAGUCUCAAAGAAUGAAGGUUGGAGAAGCGAGUUUAACGUCCAUAAGUUUUUUUCUUUACUCUGUAUUUUGACAAUUGCAUUUAUUAUACUACAACACAGACUGAUUAAUAAGUUACGUUUGAGUUACAGGCACGCUAAGAAAACAUACAGUAGAAGAAAAUCACAGUUUUAAAGUGAAAACAGUCACAUUUUAUCUGCUACACAAAUAUUUCAGAAAAA